rnacentral:rRNA from 1 species
UACGUAGGGUGCAAGCGUUAAUCGGAAUUACUGGGCGUAAAGCGUGCGCAGGCGGUUGUGCAAGACAGAUGUGAAAUCCCCGGGCUCAACCUGGGAACUGCAUUUGUGACUGCACGGCUGGAGUGCGGCAGAGGGGGAUGGAAUUCCGGCGUGUAGCAGUGAAAUGCGUAGAUAUGCGGAGGAACACCGAUGGCGAAGGCAAUCCCCUGGGCCUGCACUGACGCUCAUGCACGAAAGCGUGGGGAGCAAACAGG